UAGCUCAGUUGGUAGAGCAUGCGACUGAAAAUCGCAGUGUCGGUGGUUCGAUUCCGCC
rnacentral:tRNA from 1 species